AUCUGAAUAGUUUAAUUAAAAUAUAGGCUUGUGGGGCUUGAGAUAUAAUUUUUUAUUUUAGAUA
rnacentral:tRNA from 1 species